UUACGUACGAUCACCGAAGUUAAGCAAAAUCGAGCCAGGCCAGUACCGAGAUGGGUGACCACUUACGAAUACCAGGUGCUGUAAG